rnacentral:rRNA from 1 species
ACGCUCGACACCUACGGAAGGCAGCAGUGGGGAAUAUUGGGCAAUGGGCGCAAGCCUGACCCAGCAACGCCGCGUGAAGGAAGAAGGCUUUCGGGUUGUAAACUUCUUUUGUCAGGGAAGAGCAGAAGACGGUACCUGACGAAUAAGCCACGGCUAACUACGUGCCAACAGCCGCGGUAAUCUGAGCGGGCUGGCAAGGC